rnacentral:lncRNA from 10 species
CCUUGAUGGAAUUAUUUGCUUUUAUCUUGCUGAUUUGUUUAAGUUCCUUGUAGAUUCUGGAUAUUCGUCCUUUGUCAGAUGCAUAGUUUAUGAAUAUUUCCUCUUAUUCUGUGGUUUGACUGUUUGCUGAUUAUUUCUUUUGUUGUGCAGAGUUUUUUAGUUUAAUUAGGUCCUAUCUAUUUAUUUUUGUUGCAUUGCUUUUGGGUUCGUGGUCAUGAACUCUUUGCAGGAAUUUUUCUGAUGUUAUCAUAUGGAAUUUUUAUGGUUUCCGGUCUUAGAUUUAAGCCUUUGAUACAUCUUGAGUUGAUUUUUGUAUAAGGCGAGAUAUGAAAAUCUAGUUUCAUUCUUCUACAUGUGGCUUGAUAUACCAUGGAAUGUUACUCAGUCAUAAAAAGAAAUGAAAUAAUGGCAUUCACAGCAACCUGGAUGGAGUUGGACACCAUUAUUCUAAAUGAAGUAACUCAGGAAUGGAAAACCAAACAUUGUAUAUUCUCACUUGUAAGUGGGAGCUAAGCUAUGAGGAUGCAAAGACAUAAGAAUGAUAUAAUGGAUUAUGGGGACUUCAGGGUUGAGGGAUAAAAGACAACAAAUUGGGUACAGUGUACACUGCUUGGGUGAUGGGUGCACCAAAAUCUCAGAAAUCACACCUAAAGAACUUAUGCAUAUAACCAAACACCACCUGUUCCCCCAAAACUAUUGAAAGAAUAAUAAUAUUAAAAGGAAAUAAAUACAAAUAGAAUAAAUUUAAAUCUCUUUAUUUAUAAUCAUGUUAAUUUUUGGACAUUAUUGUUUUCUAUUUUUCAUAUCUUUUUUCAAUUAUAUUUCUAAGUCUUUGACACAACCAACUUUUAUAGAAUAAAAAUCAGUCUUUUUGUAUUAUUAUUUUUAAUUGACAUAAUAAUUAUACAUAAUGAUAAGGCACAGUAUUAUAUUUCAAUAGAUGUAUGCAAUCAAUAUUGAUCAAUUCAGGGCAAUUGGCAUAUCCAUCACCUCAAACACUUAUUGCUUCUUUCCUUUGACAUACAUUUUCAUAAUAUUUUCAGAUAGGAAACUAGUUUUCUGAAUUCUAUAUUUCCAAUAUUUUUGUAAUCUGUGAUAUCUCUGAAUUAUCAUAUUUAAGUUGAUGUGUUGGUUACUUUUAGCUUUAAAUUAGAAAUCUUGAAACACAUCUCCUAUUAAGUAGAACUUGGGUCAAACUUUUACAUCCUUAUUGAGUGUUUGGGUCAAGAGUUCUUUCAUUCCAGGUGUUUAUGUUUUACUGAUGAAAUAAAAUGCAUGUAGUAUUUGAUGCUAAUUUGAAGCUGACCUCUAGAAACUUAGUUUGCAUUGGCAAUAAUUCAUUUAAUGGAUUUCUCAACUAAUCAGACACAAUUAAUUUAUAGUCUUUGGUGCAGAAAGAAAUUCCAAGCAACAUGAGCAGCCAGUCUCUUUAUAAUCGUGCACUUUCAGUGCACAGCAGUAACACACAAUCAAUAGGUAGUCACAUCUGAUUAGCAUCUCACAUUUAGAGAGUGCACUGUCUCAAUCUCAGAGUUCUCAGUAAAUGAGAAUGCAUCUUAGAGUUGGAAAGUAUGUGAUUUGGGCCUGUAGUAACCAACAUACUCCAUUCUAAAUCAAAUUGUCAAUCCUCAAAUAUGUAAUUUCUAAGAACUGGAUACGUUACUCAAAGUUCCACAGCUUUCAAAUGAACAUAGAGAAGAGUUUUCCCCUUCUGGCUCACUCUUAUUUUCUUUAAAAUUAUGCCAGUCACAGUGCUCAGCUGAUCAUCUAUCUAUCUGUACAGAUGGAUUAUUUUGAGGUCUAGCCUACCAGGUUCUUCAGCUCAUCUCCAACGAACUUGUCUUCCUCCCUGCUUCAGCCACACAUUCCAACAGUUAUACUCUGAGACUUUAUCAUUACCUACUCAAGUCCCCCUCCCCGAAUAUUAUUCCUAAAAUUUCAUGGUCUUCCUAGUGAAUCCUGCCUUUUCAUAUCACCUUCUCACGUACUGAAAAUCUAUCAAAAGUUUGGCUCCAAAUACAUAGUCCUCGAUGUACUAAUCUUGCCACAAUUUACUAACAACAACCCCAUUUAUUCUGUAUGUUCCACUUAGUUUAUCCAGUUUAAAUUAGCUGGUCAUUCCUUAUACCCUUUCCCUUGCUCGUGAUCAAGACUACCUUUACCCCUUGAAAGGACAAUAAAAAUGCUGGUUAAAUUCCUACCUUGACAACCUUAUUUCCUGUGCCCCGGAAGCUACUGUGACUAAAGAAAAAUGCUGAAAGCUACCCUUUUCAGUUCCCAGUCCCUGCGUUGAGUGGAGUCAUUCAUUCUCUCCAGCAAUUGUUCUACCUUUCUCUACCCCUUUCUCAAAACUUUAUAUCUUUUCUAUUUUUCUCUAACCUACAAGACUGCUUCACCCAUUCAUACUCAGUUGAAACCCUUACUUUCUAUUUCACUGGGAAAUUGCUGUUUCUUAUAUUUUCUUAGAUGGGUUCCCACAUAUUCCAGCUUCUCUCUUGUUAUUGGUGGUUGAACAUUUCUUACUCCAGUUAAGACGGAGCCCUCAGGGGGAGGAUUUGUCUAUCUGUUCACCUCUUUCAAUCUAUCCUCAGCACCACAAACAGAGGAAUAUUGUUAAUUAAAAAAUCAGAUCAUGCUGCUAUAUCACCUCAUUGGUGAAUGACUAUAGAAACAAUUGUUUAUUCCCCAAUAAUCAAUUUCCCCUGAAACCCUAGCAUCCUAAUUACCAGCACUCCACCUUAAUUGCUCACUACCAUGGAUACCCCCAACAUCUCUUACUCACCAGAACCGUUCUGAUUCUCAAAUAAAAAUAAAAGUCUGAUUCUCUAAUCUUAGCACAGCAUGAUAUAGAUAGAUAUACAUAUAGAUAUAUAGUUUCAUUUUUUUGCCCCAUUCAAAUAAUUACGGAGAUUCCAAACUUCUGAUUCAUCUUUUUCUUUUUUUUUUUUUUUUUGAGACGGAGUUUCGCUCUGUCGCCCAGGCUGGAGUGCAGUGGCGCGAUCUCGACUCACUGCAAGCUCCGCCUCCCGGGUUCACGCCAUUCUCCUGCCUCAGCCUCCCGUGUAGCUGGGACUACAGGCGCGCGCCACCAUGCCCGGCUAAUUUUUGUAUUUUUAGUAGAGACGGGGUUUCACCGUGUUAGCCAGGAUGGUCUCGAUCUCCUGACCUCGUGAUCCGCCCGUCUCGGCCUCCCAAAGUGCUGGGAUUACAGGCGUGAGCCACCGCGCCCGGCCUGAUUCAUCUUUUUCUUUAACUUAAGACCUUUGAUCAUUUUCCUGCAGAGAGUUGACAAAACUUCCAUUGUGGUUCAUAUGACUGUAUUCCUCAAAGAUACUGAUUUUUUGGGGGAGAAUUUCACUUAAAAGCCUACACUUAUGCAACUAUAAAUUUAUGAUGACAAUUUCAGCUGGGCUACUCCAUUACUCAAUAACCUUUAUUUUGGGAGUCAGUUUUCUUCCUGUCUUCUCCCUGUGCUACACACCUUCUAUAUUCCUCAUAUUCAAACAUUUCCUCUUUAUUCUUAGCAAUCACCUUCAUUUCUCUGCAAUGAAAGCAGAAUGUUUAGGCAAAAGCUUUUAAAACUAGGCCAGGCGUGGUGGUUCACACCUAUAAUUCUAGCACUCUGGGAGCCUGAGGCGGGUGGAUCACUUGAGCCCAGGAGUUCAAGACCAGCCUGGGCAAAAUGGAGAAACCCCAUCUUCACAAAAAAUACAAAAAUUAGCUGGAGGUGGUGGUGCUCAUCUGUGGUCCCAGCUACUUGGAGCUUGAGGCAAGAAAAUUGCUUUAGCCGAGGGAAGUCAAGGUUGCAGUGAGCCAUGAUUGUGCCACUGCACUCCAGCUUCCAGCCUGGAGACCCUGUCUCACACACACACACACGUGCACGCACACACACACACGCUUCCAAAACUACAUUAUCACCUACAAAUGCAUGUUUAAAUGUCUCCUUCUCCUAUGUUACUGAUAGACGUAUCUCUUAUGCAAGACUAAUCCUUUCUCUCUUUAGACUGGAUUUAACACCUUUCUAAGUGGACUGAAGCCCCAGCUCUUGCUGCAACACAUUUUUGGUGUUAACUUCUUUUCACCACUCUCUUCAACUUGUCCCUUAAAUUUUAGCAGUUCCUCCACUCUCUGGCAAAUGCCCUUUUCUUUUCUUACUGGUUUUCUCCUUAAUCGGUGUCUCCAAUGUCUUCAGCUUCAAUUACCAUCGGUAAGUAAUUCCCCCCACACCAAUACAUAUUUACAGCCACUGUCUCCCUGGAGCUUCUGGCCUAUGUGUCACAGCUGCCUAGAAGACUUUCAUAUUUGGAUGACUCACAUCCACCUUAACCUGUUCAAAAUUGAGCUCACCUUCUCCUUAAACUCUACUCUUCUGAGAUUCCUUAUUUUAACAAAAGGCAUCACAAUCUACAGAUUAGCCCAAAUUAGCAUCAGGGAUAUUUACUGUCUUUAAUUCUUCCCUUCUAUUUUUCACAAGCACCAACAUGCCCUGAAAUUUAUGCAUCUUAAAAAUGCUUAUCUCCCUUCACUUUAUUUGCUCCCCUCAGCUCUUCCUUAGGAACAGGUCCUACUAUAUCUUACCUACAUUCCUUCAAAACUCUAGGCAUUCGUCCCAUGGCUUCCAACCAUUUCUCCAUCUGCCACAGUUCACCAUGCAUCCAGUGUGAUCUCUCUCGAAUCAAAACAUGAGCAGGAAGCAGCUGACCUCGCAGAGCGUUGGAAAGGCCUAUGGAAAGCUCUGCCAAGGUGACAGGACACCUUACAGGUUGAAACAGUGCUUCCAGGAUGUGGCGCAUGCAUUCAGCCAACCCCCAUAUCCUGCUGUGGGUCUCCAUGGUAAAAAUACAUGGCGCCAGAAAUGAAGAAGUGGAAGUCUGAGUGACCCCUCUCAACUCUGCAUCAUCCCAGUGACUGACUUGAAGACAUAUUUUUUGCUUUCCUUCUCCACAACCCUAAUCUCUGCUGGAUUAGUCUCCAGAGGAGGAAAUGUGCAUAAAGCUCAUUCUCAUGCCUCUAAUCCCAGCACUUUGGGAGGCCAAGGCGGGCGGAUCAUGAGGUCAGGAGAUCGAGACCAUUCUGGCUAACCUGGUGAAACCCCGUCUCUACUAAAUAUACAAAAAAUUAGCCAGGUGUGGUGGCACACGCCUGUAAUCCCAGCUACUCGGGAGGCUGAGGCAGAAGAAUCGCUUGAAUCUGGAAGGUGGAGGUUGCAGAAUCUGGUCGCCACUGCACUCCAGCCUGGGUGACAGAGCAAGA